GAUGAACGCUAGUUACAGGCUUAACACAUGCAAGUCGAGGGGAAACGGCAUUGAGUGCUUGCACUCUUUGGACGUCGACCGGCGCACGGGUGAGUAACGCGUAUCCAACCUUCCCAUUACUGUGGGAUAACCUGCCGAAAGGCAGACUAAUACCGCAUAGUCUUCGAUGACGGCAUCAGAUUUGAAGUAAAGAUUUAUCGGUAAUGGAUGGGGAUGCGUCUGAUUAGCUUGUUGGCGGGGUAACGGCCCACCAAGGCUACGAUCAGUAGGGGUUCUGAGAGGAAGGUCCCCCACAUUGGAACUGAGACACGGUCCAAACUCCUACGGGAGGCAGCAGUGAGGAAUAUUGGUCAAUGGACGGAAGUCUGAACCAGCCAAGUAGCGUGCAGGAUGACGGCCCUAUGGGUUGUAAACUGCUUUUGUAUGGGGAUAAAGUUAGGGACGUGUCCCUAUUUGCAGGUACCAUACGAAUAAGGACCGGCUAAUUCCGUGCCAGCAGCCGCGGUAAUACGGAAGGUCCAGGCGUUAUCCGGAUUUAUNNGGUUUAAAGGGAGCGUAGGCUGGAGAUUAAGUGUGUUGUGAAAUGUAGACGCUCAACGUCUGAAUUGCAGCGCAUACUGGUUUCCUUGAGUACGCACAACGUUGGCGGAAUUCGUCGUGUAGCGGUGAAAUGCUUAGAUAUGACGAAGAACUCCGAUUGCGAAGGCAGCUGACGGGAGCGCAACUGACGCUUAAGCUCGAAGGUGCGGGUAUCAAACAGG
rnacentral:rRNA from 1 species